UACGGCCGGCUCCUCUAAAAUGAAUCAGCUUACCAGUGUUUGGUGGGUACCAUGGGUGUGAUAACUAUCUACGCUUGUGGUUUCCCAUCAGGUAACCUUCAGCGAUGGAGGUUCACCGGGGCUUAUAAACAUCUCUCCUCAGUGAGGACAGAUUUUGACCGUUUGAUCUCAAAUCAGGUAGGACUACCCGCUGAACUUAA
rnacentral:misc_RNA from 1 species